rnacentral:lncRNA from 1 species
GAAGAAACCUGGCCCCCAGCUGUGGCAAUACUGGUUUUAAAGAUAGAGCUUUCUGUGAUGAACAGCACUUACAAGGCUGACCCCACACCACUGAAAUUCAAAGGCAUGGUGCCUCUUCCUUCUUCACUGCUUCUCUCUUCUUCACCCAUGAGGCACCAACCCUGCAGCUCUGGUGUGCUGGCUCAUUUAUACCAGUUCACAAUCUGGUUUGCAAUGUCCUAUUUUAAAGGGAAAAAUGUCCUGGUUGUCCUAAACUUUGAAAGAAACCACAGUCUGUCAUGUGAGAAGAAAACCAUGUUGUGUGCUUGGCAAGCCUCUCUGCAAGGACUGUCUCAUCCUCAUCAGGUGCUUGAACGCCAUCACCUUGAAAUUCAUUGCCUGCCACAUGAGUCCUUGCUGCCUGUAGGUCUGCAGGAACUUCAGUGA